rnacentral:lncRNA from 1 species
CUUCAAAGAAUAGUUAUCACUGCCUUUUGUUGCUACGAGCUUUGGAUCCCAUGGACAACACUCCUCGAUUCUUCUUGCUUACCUGUACUACUGCUUGUUGUUAAGACCAUGUGUCUCCAUCGGUAACAUUUUCAACUGCCUCAUGUUAACCAGAACUUGUGUCCUCCAGGGAGGCUGUUUUAUCUCUAUCCAAGGUGGUAUUGAUAGACUCAUGGAAUGAGUUUCCUGUUCUCCAGAAGCUUGUCAGCCUUCCAGUGACAUGUUUUUUUAAAUAAUUCAACUACUCAGGUCCAUCUGGAAAUCAUUGUUUGGAUGCUUCCUAUCUUUUAUAUGACCCCGAUUAAAAACUACAGAGAGA